UCAGAUUUUUUGAUUUUAGAUAAUGCCUUCACUUACCGGCUUGGCGGAGUCCUCUUCUUGAGCGGACUAGUCACGUUAAUGGUCAGUUGACUGUCCGUUGUCAUUCUACGUGCGCAUGGCUGCGUUCUCCCUUUAUGCUGCUAAAAGCCAGCAAGCAGCUGAUAUCGCAACAGUCAGGAAGAACGAAACGAGAAAGGGGGAAGUAAUCGCACUACGUGUAUGCUAACAGCAGAAACAAGACAUUUCAGAAUUGACACUUGACGCUUUUCAAGGCUAGAAAAUGGGAGCCAAAAAGCCAACCAAGUUCCACACCUGCCAGCAACAAACUAGAAGAUUUUGUGUGCUAAAGCUUCCUCAAAUGAUGCUAUAGUCAAGCAAUUAUGAAAACUGAAGGUAAAAUAAGUGGACAACUGUGUCAAUGAGCAUCACCAAAGGUUUGCCACACCACCAAUUAUUCACAAUAAAAAUAAACUGAAGUGCUCCAAAACACUUCAGCUCAACAAAUCGUUCAGCAGAAGUGUGUCAAGAACCACUACUGGGGCUCCUUUAUACCAACAGUAAUAUGUAUGAAUAAUGCUUCACUGUGACCAUGUCUGCCAAGUCAGAAGUUUUUCUUCUUUUUUUAACUCUUGUUUUUAUAUAAGGGGUUGUUAUAGUUAUAAUAUUUCUAUAUUUCUUGAGCUUCUGCAAAAAGCUGAAUUGCCCCUUAGGACAAAUAGGUAUCCACUGUCAAAUUGGGAGCACUUAGGGAGCAUCUAGAUGAUUCUGUUGACAUGGCGCAACCAACCACACUGCCAGGGCAAAAACAAUCACUAACCAACACUUCUUUUUUCCCUGUGGACCAAAGGAUGAGUCCCAGGAUGGACCAUGACACUACUACCAGUAUAAAUAAGGAAAUCGUGCCUCUGCCACCCUGUGAGUUAUUUAAAGAAUGAAGGGACAAACUGGAAAAAAUCAAAUACUCAGAGGAUCUGUACGGAUUUUUUUCAAAACAUGGCACAAUCUAAUCAAUA